rnacentral:tRNA from 11 species
UCCGUUCUCGUCCAGUGGUUUGGAUAUCUGGCUUUCACCCAGGAGACCUGCGUUCGAUUCCCGGCAACGGAU